AAUGCAAGCAGGAGAGGGGCAGAGAGAGAGGGAGUCACAGAAUCCAAAGCAGGCUCCAGGCUCCGAGCUGUCAGCACAGAGCCCGACGUGGGGCUCGAACCCACGAACCGCGAGAUCGUGACCUGAGCCCAAGUCUGAGCCCAAGCUCAACCGUCUGAGCCCCCCAGGCGCCCUCCCCCCAUGCUUAGCUUUGAAAAAGAUUCUGUUUAAGAGAAGGGAGGGCAUCUGCCCCAGAGCGUGGCCUGAAAACAGACAGUGGUAAAGCAAAACCCUCCCAAGAGCUCCCGCUGCCUCUCUCUGAGGGCUCCGUUAAACACACAGACUUGGAGACCACACAGUCCUUCCGCUUGUGAGAAGGUGCUAGGAUGCUUAUCAGACUUAGGGUGGACGAGACCUGACGGGCUGCCGGAGCACCCCAGCUGCAACACAAGACCCCAGAGGCCGGUGGCCCCUUGCGCGGUAGCCCCUGCCUUUACUUCUGGGUCUGGACAGGAGCAGCCCUCUGGCUUCUGCAGACAGCCUCCCCCGCCCCCGUCCCCUUGGACGUACAACUGUAGGCCGUGUGGCCGAUCUGGUACAGCUGGAUCCCUCUGACGCUCAUGUCUCCCCUCCAGUUAAGAUGGAAAUAUAUUAGAGAAUAAACAACCAAAAGAGACAUGCUGAGUUUCACCCAAAAAUCAAUCAGAAGAGAAAAACACUUGGGCCAGCGUCAAGAGAAACAAAACUGAGCCAGCACAGAUUUUUAUGAAAAUGAUCAUUGAAUAGUAUUUCCAUGAAAAGGCAACUGACUCAGAGUCGGAGGGUGAGUGUCCCGUGAGGCAGACCAGAGUCGGAAGGGCCCGCCCACGCCCGGGGCUCACAGCCCCGCUCAAGCUCAGUUACUAGAAGUGACCCAACCAUCCCGAAAAUAGGAAAAAGGACACGAGGGACAAGCCAGACUCUUAGGAAGGGAGAAAAUGUGUGUUGUGAAACCAGCCCGGCUCGGGAAGACUGUCACGUCGCAUUGGGCUUCUCCUCCCCAGAAGCAGCCCCGCAAAUAACCCUCUUGCGCCCGGGGAAGGCUGUGCGGCACAGUCCCUGACCUUCUGGAAGGGCCCAGCGAGAAAACGGAUGUUGCUGCGAGUGCCAGAGGCGCACAGAUGAGGCGUUUUGUUUAAAUGCUUACCUCCGGCUCAAGGCAUAGGAGGCGUUCUGGUACUUUCGGCUGGUAUACUUCCUUCUGGAACAUCACGAGGGAGCUGCCUUCGAUCUGAGGCAGGAGAUCCGAGUGGUUCUGUGAGCAUCUCCCGGGAGCUGCCCUGUGGAACCCAGCGGCUCCCUCCGCCCCCCCCCCCCCCCCCCCCCCGGGCCGUCCGGGCUCCGUAUCUGGAAUGUAAAAGAACGCCUGGAUUCCUGGUGUGGUGUCAGGACCGCUUCUCUUAAGAAAGCACCUCCCUCUUAAACAAAAGCACCAGGGACCUCGGACCCUGCUGUUGGCUGUGACGCGCGUCAAGCUUAGAACGAGGAAGGAUUGCGUCCUCACUCUGUCGCCCUGCAGACCUGCACCUUGGCCACUGUAGGUGUUCCACGAUCUUUGAAGACCCAAGAAAAGCAGUGUUGGCCAAAAGCAAGACAAAUGACUCACAGAGAAAAAAGAUGGUGGGGCCAAGGGCAAUUAAAGCUGCCUCAGGUUCUGAGCGGAUGGUGAAUGAGCUGGUCGACUGAAGGACAUGGUUCAGACUGUCCCGGACCCAGCAGCUCAUAUCAAGGUAGGUUUCAUCUCGGCCGGGGGGCCGCUCUUGCUUCCUCCUUGGCUGCAUUUUGGUGGAUGCAGGCCCGCACAUCAGCCUGUGCGGGGGGCAGCCAGCCUCUGCUGUGGGCCGGGUCCGUCCCGCCACCUGUUUUUAGACCGCCAUGAGCUAAGAUAAUGGUUUUCACAAUAUGGAGCGGUUGAAAACAAUCAAAAGAAGAAGAAUAUUUCCUAACCCGUGGUAAAUUAGAUCUCGUUGUCCAUAAAGAAAGUUUUGCUGGGACGCAGCCACGCUCCCUCGUUUCCACACCGUGUGUGGCUGCUUUCGUGUCCUGACGGCAGAGCUGAGUGGCGGCGACCAAGACCGCGUGAUCCGCAAAGCUGAAAGUAUUUACUGUCUGACCUUCGGCAGAAGAUGGCUGACCCCUGAAUUGACACAGAAGCCACAUCCGGAUUCUUCCAGCUUCUGUUUUAACGCCACCCCCUUGCCCCUUGCCGGGGGUUACCUGGGAGGACACCGGAGGCUGUGCCCUCGCACUUCCCGUGCCCAGGGGUGGUUUUACCUGGCCACGCCCACACGUGGCACCUGUUUCACCUGUUCCCCAGCUGCACCUCCCCAUGUCUUUGGAGGUGAGGCAACAAGGUUGAGUCCCGAGCCACCCGGGAGUCCUGAGAGGAAGCCGGCCCGUUUGGCACACACGGGCACAGCCGCCGGGAGGAAGUAAAGAGAUGGUUUUAGUAACUUGACCCAAAUAAAAGUUACAGGAAACACUGGGGCUUGAGCUACAUUACCCCGAUCGGCUGUCUACACCUGUGCUAGUUAGUUCAGCUGUCUACACUGGCCCAAAUCAUUCGCCACCUUGCCAUUUCUGCACGUCCCCUGCGUGUAUUCAUUUUCCCUAAGUGGCCUCGUAGGUUUCACUGAUCUAAAUGUUCUUUGCCUGAAACAUUUCCUGAAAAUGGAAAGUGGCUUCUAAUUGAAAGGAAAGUUCACCCUUUUUUGGCCAAAAUAUGAAGUGCCCUCCAACAUCACGCACACGCACACACACAUCUUAAAAGCAACGCGCUUGGGAGUGCUAUGUACCGGGUGUAAUUCACGCUCUUCCACGUUUGACCGCGGAUUUAGAAGGAACGGGUUCAGUGCGUUGUUCAAGGUUGGUGGGUGCUCCCGAAGCGUCAGAAAGAGGGGCUCCCCAAGGAGUGUUGAGCCUUCAGUGUCGGGGAGGAGCAGACCUCUGUGGCGGACACUGUCGUGUGGCUUGUGUGCGAUGUCUCACUGGGGCCGGGACAGUUAUGCCUGUAACACGUGCAGUGGGCAGUCUCCCGUGGACGUGGUAAGGCUCCUUCGGAAAUUCCUGGGGCGUAUUUGGCAAGCGUGUCCGUGCCACACAGGGACGGGGGAGGGGGAAGGCUUUUUCCGUUUCAUCUUUGUUGACCGUGAAGCUGAGGGAUGCAAAUAAAAGCUCAUGGAGAAGGCCAGACGAGAAGAAUCUUCUGUGCCUCAGGCUAUGAAGGUCAACCACCCAAAGUCAUCAUGGUUGGCAUUUUAUUCCUAGCCAACGGGAAGGAAAAGCUGAAGUCAGCAAGAAAUCAUUAGGGCUUGUUUUUAAAAGCUAAUUCAUCAAAUGCAAACAGUCUUAGAUAAACCCAAGAAGCAUGAUUUCUGAUGAUGUGUUUAGUGGACAGGUCGGCAUUUGAUCUCAGGAGCGAGCUGUAUUUCCAGCUCUGAUUUCUCUCAUUAUCAUCAUAGCCGUUACCAUAAAUGUAAGUGAAGGCUGAAGAGAAAGAGAACCAGGAGAAUUUUUUUUAAUACAUAUCAACUCAGGAAGUAAAAAUAAAAAAGAAAUCUCAACUCACAUUGCUUCUGUGUGUUUUGAAGAUGAACUGGCAGUUAGAAGUGCAGUUAUUAGCAGCUGAUGUUGGCUCUGAGUUGCAGAGAAUUAUGUUAAAGACAUUUGUUUCCUUUGUAAAAUCUAUCAAAUUCCAGCUAUUGGAAUUUGAAUAAUUAUUCCUGGACUUCCUCCCCCCCUUUUUUUUUGUACAUGAGAUUGGUAUCCUUGCCAAAAAAGUUAAGAAAAUAGAUGGCCUUCCACGGCUUCCUUAAAACACCUGAUUUGGGAAAUUUAUUCACUAAAAUUUUAUGUGCUGUGAAGUCUCUGGUUCUGGGCUGAGUGCAGCUUUUAUUUCUGGGAGGGGAAGUUCUUAUAAAUGGCAUAUGAACUGUUCCACUUGAUGUGUUAAUGUAAAUAGUGGAAGAUUUUGUCUUUGGCUCAUUGCUACUGAGCGUUUUUUUUUUUUUUUUUUUUUCCUCAUCUGAAAAGGACCUGAAUUCCCCACAGAAGUGACUUAACAUUGCAGGUGUGCGUGGAAACAGACGUUUAUGACUCCACAUUUGUGUCCAUAGUCUGAUCCGGAGGGAAGUCAUGUUCCUUUCAUAUUUAAGAAAUUUAUUCUCCAUGAUUUACUAUAACUCUCUUCUGCCAGAACAAAUUACUUUUCCCCUUUUAUAUGUUUAAGGAGCUAGAAAUAAUAAUAAUAAAAGGGAGGGAUGGUAAGUAACUGUGAAAUAUAGAACAUUCUUGAUUUAAAAGAAUAUUAAGAGUUGUGGCAAUUUCGUUGACAAAGAGAAUGAGCAGAACUUUAAUAAGAAAACAUUUUCAGCUUAUUCUCUGUCGGUGCUAAUACCAAGUCACUAAGCACAUUUUAAUUUGUCUUUCUCUGCUGGUCCUUCCACGUCCUGUCUUACGCUAGAAAUUAUACUUCUGUGUCACAUAAGCGUGAUCUUAGCAUGUCAGGUGUAUGACCAUGCUUCUGCUCUGCUGGGUGGGUACAGUCCAUGGCUAUCAAAUGUCAACCCAUGCUAUUAUCCCAAGGAGGGAAAGACUUGCAGAUUUAUUUUGUUAGGAUUCGAGAUUUUGGUCAUUAAUUCUCAUUCUAAUGUUUAUUUUUGGGAGAGAGAGAGAGAGAGAGAGAGCGAGCACGAGUGGUAGAGGGGCAGAGAGAGAGAGGGAGACGCAGAAUCGGAAGCAGGCUCCAGGCUCUGAGCUGUCAGCCCAGAGCCCGACACAGGGCUCGAACUCGUGAACCACGAAAUCACGAUCUGAGCCGAAGUCAGAUACUUAACCAACCCAGGCGCCCCCCAUUAGUUCUCAUUCUGAUAAAGGAAUUUUUGAUUCACGUUAUUGCGUUUCUUCUCAAGAAUUUCAUCCUCUUAAUACUUCCAUAUACUACCAUUUGAGGAAAAGGAUUAACAUAUUAGUCAAGUUUACAGCUUUAAAGAGACAGCCGAUUGGCACAUUUUUUAACUGUUCCCUUUAAGGCUGUUCGCCAGGUAUUCGCAUAGAAGGUUGUACGUUUCGGAACUGAUCAAGCGAGGCCUGUGUGAAUUCGAGUUUCACUCAUGGGUCCACCAGAGGUAUGAUCUAGGGACGCCGGUUACAGAACUGUCUGCCUCGUGCAUCCUGGCUAGGUUCGUGUCGUGGAUCAGAGCGAGGGUCCUGGCAUCUUAAGACUUGAUUCAAAUCCCGCUCCCUCAUUUACUAACCUGGGUGGUUUUGAACAGGUGGCUGGGGUUUCCUCUUAUUUGAAAUGCAAGCACUGACUUUGUGGGGUCAGAUUGAGGACUGUAAUUACACGCAGCACACAAAAACCCCAUUGAGUGUUGAACUACUGUGAGCUGUUCCUGUGGUAUCCUAUAAAGUGAGGGUAGCAUCCCUCUUAAAAAUACAGUAUUAUAGUGUCUGUGAUGACACGGAACAGCAUGGGUCUGUCUUACAAAACACGGAGCCGGGUGAAAAAAAAAGUCCAAAACAAUGUGAUCUAUGGCACAGUGCUUUUCACAAAUCCAUGAAAACAUGUCCCCUUCCCCAGCGUCAUGUAAUUUUCACGCACGCACUUAAAACAUAGUGAUCACAUCAGAGUAGAUGGGUGCGCAGGUGGGAUAUGUUGUCUGGUGGCUUGGAGAGAAGGGUUAAGGGAAAAAAUAAUAGUACAGAGAUAGUACAAGUUUAUAGCAUUGAGGUUCGGCUGCGGUGCUCAGGAUGGUCUCCUGCACACUGGGGGAGGGGGAGUGUAAAUCAGCACGACCCUUUGGUGUAUAAGUCGAGUGUUGCCUAGUGAGGCUGAAGGUGCACCGACCCUGUGCUCCAGUGGUCCCACCCCUGGGUACACCCCUGUUGCCCUUGGAUGCCUGGAGAUGGGCAUGAGGAAAAAGUGAACAACCCAGGUGCCCAACAGGAGAAUGGAUAACUAAAUGGCAUUCUAGCCCUAUAAUGGAAUACUACACAGCAGUGAAAAUAACAAGUGUCUACCUGUGUCUGUGUAUCAGUGUGGAUGAUUCUCAAGGUUGGGAAAAGAAAACAAGUCACAGGAGAGUAAAUACAAUAUGAUCCCACAUGUAAAGAUCAAAAAGUGGUAGGACAGGGGCGCCUGGGUGGCUCGGUCAGUUGAGCGUCCGACUUCGUCUCAGGUCAUGAUCUCGCGGUUUGUGGGUUCGAGCCCCACGUCGGGCUCUGUGCUGACAGCUCAGAGCCUGGGGGCUGCUUCCGAUUCUGUGUCUCCCUCUCUCUCUCUGCCCCUCCUCUCUCUGCACCCGUUCUGUCUCUGUCUCUCUCUCAAAAAUAAAUAAUCAUUUAAAAAAAUGUGAUGGGACUGAAAACAUCAUGUUGUCAGAGAAAACUAUGUGUGUCGGAAAGAAAAAAAGCCACAUUGAGUACAUACUUCGGGACGGGCCUUACUUACCUUGUCAGGGAGGAGAGAGCUUGGGGAACGGGUUUCUGAGGUUGCCUGUUGUGAGCUGAGAAGCACCUUCCCUGUACCCACAAGGGGCUUGGGGUGGGUGGGGGAAUAAGGGACCACAAAGACACAGCACCUGCCAUCCAGGGCGCAAGUCACAUGUUCCCAAACACCUGGGAUGUGGCGCUGCACACAGCCAAGGAGGGACCCAGGGCAGGGGGCUGGGCGGACGCCUAAGGGAAGCUGCCUGACCUGCUCUACCCACUCACCUGUCCUCACCUGUGAGCAG